rnacentral:rRNA from 1 species
AAAGGGCAAUUCCCUAGUACGGCGAGUGAACCGGGAAGAGCUCAAAUUUGAAAUCUGGCGUCCUCAGGGCGUCCGAGUUGUAAUCUAUAGAGGCGUUUUCCGUGCCGGACCGUGUCCAAGUUCCUUGGAACAGGAUAUCAAAGAGGGUGACAAUCCCGUACUUGACACGACGACCGGUGCUCUGUGAUACGUCUUCUACGAGUCGAGUUGUUUGGGAAUGCAGCUCAAAAUGGGUGGUGAGUUCCAUCUAAAGCUAAAUAUUGGCGAGAGACCGAUAGCGAACAAGUACCGUGAGGGAAAGAUGAAAAGCACUUUGGAAAGAGAGUUAAACAGUACGUGAAAUUGUUGAAAGGGAAACGAUUGAAGUCAGUCGUGACCGAGAGGCUCAGCCGGUUCUGCCGGUGUAUUCCCCUCGGUCGGGUCAACAUCAGUUUUGUCCGGUGGAUAAGGGCGGUAGGAAGGUGGCACCCUCGGGUGUGUUAUAGCCUGCCGUCGCAUACAUCGGGUGAGACUGAGGAACGCAGCUCGCCUUUAUGGCCGGGGUUCGCCCACGUCCGAGCUUAGGAUGUUGACAUAAUGGCUUUAAACGACCCGUCUUGAAAMACGGGACACAAAAA